rnacentral:tRNA from 1 species
GGUAAUAGCUCAGUGGUAGAGGGCAUACUUAGUGUGCAUGAGGUCCUGGGUUCAAUCCCCAGUACCC